rnacentral:rRNA from 1 species
GAUGAACGCUAGCGGCAGGCCUAACACAUGCAAGUCGAGGGAGAGGUUAUCUUCGGGUAACCAAAACCGGCGCACGGGUGCGUAACGCGUAUACAAUCUGCCUUUCACAUAGGGAUAGCCCGAAGAAAUUUGGAUUAAUACCUAAUGGUAUAUAAGAGCGGCAUCGUUUUUAUAUUAAAGCUACGGUGGUGAAAGAUGAGUAUGCGUUCUAUUAGCUAGUUGGAGAGGUAACGGCUCCCCAAGGCGACGAUAGAUAGGGGUUCUGAGAGGGAUGUCCCCCACACUGGUACUGAGAUACGGACCAGACUCCUACGGGAGGCAGCAGUGAGGAAUAUUGGACAAUGGUCGGAAGACUGAUCCAGCCAUGCCGCGUGCAGGAUGAAGGUCCUAUGGAUUGUAAACUGCUUUUGUAAGGGAAGAAUAAGGAGUACGUGUACUUUGAUGACGGUACCUUACGAAUAAGCAUCGGCUAACUCCGUGCCAGCAGCCGCGGUAAUACGGAGGAUGCGAGCGUUAUCCGGAAUCAUUGGGUUUAAAGGGUCCGUAGGCGGGCUGAUAAGUCAGAGGUGAAAGCGCUUAGCUCAACUAAGCAACUGCCUUUGAAACUGUCAGUCUUGAAUGAUUGUGAAGUAGUUGGAAUGUGUAGUGUAGCGGUGAAAUGCUUAGAUAUUACACAGAACACCGAUAGCGAAAGCAUAUUACUAACAAUUUAUUGACGCUGAUGGACGAAAGCGUGGGGAGCGAACAGG